rnacentral:rRNA from 1 species
GUCUAUGGCCAUGCCAUCCUGAACAAGCCUGAUCCCAUCUGUUCUCGGAAGCUAAGCAGGGUCAGGCCUGGUUAGUACUUGGAUGGGAGAUCACCUAGGAAGACCAGGUGCUGUAGGCA